rnacentral:rRNA from 1 species
CCUACGGGAGGCAGCAGUGAGGAAUAUUGGUCAAUGGACGAGAGUCUGAACCAGCCAAGUCGCGUGAAGGAUGAAUGCACUCUGGGUUGUAAACUUCUUUUAUAUGGGAAUAAAAUGUUCCACGUGUGGGAUUUUGUAUGUACCAUAUGAAUAAGGAUCGGCUAACUCCGUGCCAGCAGCCGCGGUAAUACGGAGGAUCCGAGCGUUAUCCGGAUUUAUUGGGUUUAGAGGGAGCGUAGGUGGAUUGUUAAGUCAGUUGUGAAAGUUUGCGGCUCAACCGUAAAAUUGCAGUUGAAACUGGCAGGCGUGAGUACAGUAGAGGUGGGCGGAAUUCGUGGUGUAGCGGUGAAAUGCGUAGAUAUCACGAAGAACUCCGAUUGCGAAGGCAGCUCACUGGACUGCAACUGACACUGAGGCUCGAAAGUGUGGGUAGCAAACAGGAUUAGAUACCCGUGUAGUC